UACGGAGGGUGCAAGCGUUAUCCGGAUUCACUGGGCUUAAAGGGUGCGUAGGCGGCUUGUUAAGUAGGGUGUGAAAGCCCCCAGCUCAACCGGGGAACUGCACUCUAUACUGGCGAGCUGGAGUGAGAUAGGGGUGUGUGGAACUGCCAGUGGAGCGGUGAAAUGUGUUGAUAUUGGCAGGAACGCCGGUGGCGAAAGCGACACACUGGGUCUCAACUGACGCUGAGGCACGAAAGCCAGGGGAGCGAACGGG
rnacentral:rRNA from 1 species